CUCGUAGGCGGUUCAGUAAGUCGGGUGUGAAAGCUCCGAGCUCAACUCGGAGAUGCCACCCGAUACUGCUGUGACUCGAGUCCAGUAGAGGAGCGUGGAAUUCCUGGUGUAGCGGUGAAAUGCGCAGAUAUCAGGAGGAACACCCGUAGCGAAGGCGGCGCUCUGGGCUGGUACUGACGCUGAGGAGCGAAAGCGUGGUAGCAAACA
rnacentral:rRNA from 1 species